UGAUGUCAACUGUCAACUCUGCCAUUUCGCCAGAUAUCAUAUAUCUUCCUUUAAAACCCACAGUAUGGGGAAAGGUUAGAUUAACACCAGGAAAGAAGAAUUGUAAGGGUAUUCGAGGGCAAUAAUUUAACAAAGCGAGAAAGGAUCGAUGCAGUAUUUACCAACCAAGCAUAGCUCAGACUAGUACAAGUAUGAGUACGAGUCCCACACAUUAACUUAUGUGUGGGAAAAAAUAGUCGGUCUGAAGACAAUGCUGCACUGGAUCUGGAUCGCUAGCUGCAUGCUGGAGGCUGCCGGCUGGAACUACUUUAAAGAUCAUCAUUUUGUCAAGGAAAGACAUGGGCAGAAGUCUGCAAAUAAGCACUUCCAGACUUGGACUUGGACUUGGAGUGAAUCAGUACUUUGGAUAUAUGCUACCUCUGUGUUUUUUUUUUUAUCCCACAGAAAGUUUGACAUGGAAUUGAGGGGGGGGGGGGUGCAAUAUAGUUUUAAUCCACACUUUUGUGAAAAAUGAGUUACAUCCAUUUCCAUCAGCUUUCUAGAUUGUUCUUCAUCUUCUGACAAUUAAAAAAAAAGGAAAUCAACUGAUUAAUAGGGAAAUGAAUAAAUAUUCUUCUCCUGAAAACAAGCAAUUAUCUGAACACAAAAAAAAA
rnacentral:lncRNA from 1 species